GACGAACGCUGGCGGCGUGCUUAACACAUGCAAGUCGAACGGUGAAAGCGGAGCUUGCUCCGCUGGAUCAGUGGCGAACGGGUGAGUAAACGUGGGCAACCUGCCCCUCACUUCGGGAUAACUCCGGGAAACCGGGGCUAAUACCGGAUAUGACCUCCUUGGGCAUCCUGGGAGGUGGAAAGUUUUUCGGUGAGGGAUGGGCCCGCAGCCUAUCAGCUUGUUGGUGAGGUAGUGGCUCACCAAGGCGACGACGGGUAGCCGGCCUGAGAGGGCGACCGGCCACACUGGGACUGAGACACGGCCCAGACUCCUACGGGAGGCAGCAGUGGGGAAUAUUGCGCAAUGGGCGAAAGCCUGACGCAGCAACGCCGCGUGCGGGAUGACGGCCUUCGGGUUGUAAACCGCUUUCAGCAGGGAAGAAGCCGCAAGGUGACGGUACCUGCAGAAGAAGCACCGGCUAACUACGUGCCAGCCGCCGCCGUAA
rnacentral:rRNA from 1 species